rnacentral:rRNA from 1 species
AUUGAACGCUGGCGGUAUGCUUAACACAUGCAAGUCGAACGGUAGCAGGCCUUCGGGCGCUGACGAGUGGCGGACGGGUGAGUAACGCGUAGGAAUCUGCCUCAUAGUGGGGGAUAACCCGGGGAAACUCGGGCUAAUACCGCAUACGCUCUACGGAGGAAAGCGGGGGAUCUUCGGACCUCGCGCUAUUAGAUGAGCCUGCGUCCGAUUAGCUAGUUGGCGGGUAAAGGCCCACCAAGGCGACGAUCGGUAGCUGGUCUGAGAGGACGAUCAGCCACACUGGAACUGAGACACGGUCCAGACUCCUACGGGAGGCUG